GAGCGCCGUUUUCCGGCGACGAAUCCGCCGUCGGCAGCGGAGCAUUGAUGGCGGCGGUGAUGUUCUGAUCCGACGAGUUUCCGAUGAUUGGUGGUGGUGGUGGCCACUGUUGUUAUUGAAUUGUCGAUCUCUGAAAAAUGGGCACUGUGAAUAAUGGCCAUCUUCUUUACAACUUUUCAAGGACCAUGUCUCCUGUUUAUUGCUUUCCAAAAAAAUUCGGUGGUGGGGCUACGGCGGUUGCCGCCGGAGUAGAUUGA
rnacentral:lncRNA from 1 species